rnacentral:rRNA from 1 species
GAUGAUCCCUGGCUUGCUGGGGGGAUUAGUGGCGAACGGGUGAGUAACACGUGAGUAACCUGCCCUUGACUCUGGGAUAAGCCUGGGAAACUGGGUCUAAUACCGGAUAUGACUUCUCAUCGCAUGGUGGGGGGUGGAAAGCUUUUGUGGUUUUGGAUGGACUCGCGGCCUAUCAGCUUGUUGGUGGGGUAAUGGCCUACCAAGGCGACGACGGGUAGCCGGCCUGAGAGGGUGACCGGCCACACUGGGACUGAGACACGGCCCAGACUCCUACGGGAGGCAGCAGUGGGGAAUAUUGCACAAUGGGCGAAAGCCUGAUGCAGCGACGCCGCGUGAGGGAUGACGGCCUUCGGGUUGUAAACCUCUUUCAGUAGGGAAGAAGCCUUUCGGGGUGACGGUACUUGCAGAAGAAGCGCCGGCUAACUACGUGCCAGCAGCCGCGGUAAUACGUAGGGCGCAAGCGUUAUCCGGAAUUAUUGGGCGUAAAGAGCUCGUAGGCGGUUUGUCGCGUCUGCUGUGAAAGACCGGGGCUCAACUCCGGUUCUGCAGUGGGUACGGGCAGACUAGAGUGCAGUAGGGGAGACUGGAAUUCCUGGUGUAGCGGUGAAAUGCGCAGAUAUCAGGAGGAACACCGAUGGCGAAGGCAGGUCUCUGGGCUGUAACUGACGCUGAGGAGCGAAAGCAUGGGGAGCGAACAGGAUUAGAUACCCUGGUAGUCCAUGCCGUAAACGUUGGGCACUAGGUGUGGGGGACAUUCCACGUUUUCCGCGCCGUAGCUAACGCAUUAAGUGCCCCGCCUGGGGAGUACGGCCGCAAGGCUAAAACUCAAAGGAAUUGACGGGGGCCCGCACAAGCGGCGGAGCAUGCGGAUUAAUUCGAUGCAACGCGAAGAACCUUACCAAGGCUUGACAUGGACCGGAAAGACCUGGAAACAGGUGCCCCGCUUGCGGCCGGUUUACAGGUGGUGCAUGGUUGUCGUCAGCUCGUGUCGUGAGAUGUUGGGUUAAGUCCCGCAACGAGCGCAACCCUCGUUCUAUGUUGCCAGCGGUUCGGCCGGGGACUCAUAGGAGACUGCCGGGGUCAACUCGGAGGAAGGUGGGGACGACGUCAAAUCAUCAUGCCCCUUAUGUCUUGGGCUUCACGCAUGCUACAAUGGCCGGUACAAAGGGUUGCGAUACUGUGAGGUGGAGCUAAUCCCAAAAAGCCGGUCUCAGUUCGGAUUGGGGUCUGCAACUCGACCCCAUGAAGUCGGAGUCGCUAGUAAUCGCAGAUCA